rnacentral:rRNA from 1 species
CAUGAACGCUGGCGGCGUGCCUAACACAUGCAAGUCGAGCGAUCUUCUUCGGAAGAGAGCUGCGGACGGGUGAGUAACGCGUGGGUAACCUGCCCUGUACACACGGAUAACAUACCGAAAGGUAUGCUAAUACGGGAUAACAUACUUUUAUCGCAUGGUUGACGUAUCAAAGCUCCGGCGGUAUAGGAUGGACCCGAGUCUGAUUAGCUAGUUGGUAAGGUAACGGCUUACCAAGGCGACGAUCAGUGGCCGACCUGAGAGGGUGAUCGGCCACAUUGGAACUGAGACACGGUCCAAACUCCUACGGGAGGCAGCAGUGGGGAAUAUUGCACAAUGGGCGAAAGCCUGAUGCAGCAACGCCGCGUGAGCGAUGAAGGCCUUCGGGUCGUAAAGAUCUGUCCUCAAGGAAGAUAAUGACGGUACUUGAGGAGGAAGCCCCGGCUAACUACGUGCCAGCCGCCGCAGUAAUAC